UGGGGUAUGGCUCAGUGGUAGAGCACAUGCUUAGCAUGUGCAAGGUCCUGGGUUCAAUCCCCAGUACCUCCA
rnacentral:tRNA from 1 species